CCUAGAAAACUAAGCUGGGUCCAUUUGGACCCCCCAAUUUGUGCGUCAAAUUUCCCGGUCAAUGCCCAUCUUACCUACAAUGCAUUGCUUGUUUAUACGGCCAUUUUCUCAUCACUUGGACCUCAGCGGUCGUGGCUGGUGGAUGGUACGUGACAGUAUUAGCGUUAUUAGUGAUUUAUAGGCAGUGCUUGGUCCACAUGGACCCAUGGUUAUAAGCAGUGUUACAUAUGGACUAUGCACAUGCAGUACGUAAUGGGCAUUUUUUUCUGUGUGAUGUAGAAAAUAUUGUAAUGUGUGGUGUUGUACAAUACUGCCGAGAGUUGAACCAUGUUGUUAUGUUGUGAAACUGGCAUUUCUAUCUAUAUUUAGUUUAUUUUUACUCGUUUUCCUCGGACAGGUGUGUUGAACACCUGUCACGUGAAAAGCAGGUGUUGUGAGACAAGCAGGGAAGCAGUGUUGUUGAUCAGGAGCCAGUGCUACACCUCCUGUGAUCGAGGGAGUGCUGUUGCACGGCUGCAGAUAAGCAUGUAACAAUACAGGCCUAUUUGUAGUGUGGGUCCACAUGGACCCAUGGUUAUAAGCAGUGUUACAUAUGGACUAUGCACAUGCAUAGGAGGGUAAAGCUAAAUAUCAUGCAGUGCUUCGACUUGUUCGAGGAACAACCUGAUCGAGUAGGAGAAGGCCCCAAAAUCAAGAAGAGGUGCUCACUCUGCAAAUAUCAGAAGAACAUGGCAAAGAUCCGAACUGUGUGUGGCUACUGCAAGAGACCUGCAUGUGCCAAACACAUCACAUAUCAGUGUGAUGAUUGCAGAUUCUAAAAGAUCACACUCAAGAAAGGACCAUGGUGGGCUGCUUUGGGCAGAUAUAACUUCAGCAACUGUCCAACUAAAGGGAAUAAGUAGUUACUAAGCUCAAAAUUAGUUAUUAUAUUUUUCUCAUAAUAUUUUUGCAAACUAUGUGAAAUUUCGGAAAAUUUACAUUUUUAAUUUUGCUACAAUAAAAAUAUGGCAUAUUUUUCUUUA